GUGCCAGCAGCCGCGGUAAUACGGAGGGGGUUAGCGUUGUUCGGAAUUACUGGGCGUAAAGCGCGCGUAGGCGGACUAUUAAGUCGAGGGUGAAAUCCCGGGGCUCAACCCCGGAACUGCCUUCGAUACUGGUAGUCUUGAGGUCGAGAGAGGUGAGUGGAAUUCCGAGUGUAGAGGUGAAAUCCGUAGAUAUUCGGAGGAACACCAGUGGCGAAGGCGGCUCACUGGCUCGAUACUGACGCUGAGGUGCGAAAGUGUGGGGAGCAAACAGGAUUAGAUACCCGCGUAGUCC
rnacentral:rRNA from 1 species